GAAAAUGAAAACUUCGUGAAUAAACGGCAAAAGUCUGUACUGACGAACAGAAAGUACAUAAGAGGCAUAGCAAUAAGGAUGAGCGUCCACAGCAACGUAAAGUCCGAAGAAUACAAAAUCUACUAGAUGUAGAUGCAGCGGGGAUAGGCGGAAGGAAAAAGCG
rnacentral:autocatalytically_spliced_intron from 1 species